AGUGAACGCUGGCGGUAGGCCUAACACAUGCAAGUCGAACGGCAGCACAGUAAGAGCUUGCUCUUACGGGUGGCGAGUGGCGGACGGGUGAGGAAUACAUCGGAAUCUACUUUUUCGUGGGGGAUAACGUAGGGAAACUUACGCUAAUACCGCAUACGACCUACGGGUGAAAGCAGUGGAUCUUCGGACCUUUCGCGAUUGAAUGAGCCGAUGUCGGAUUAGCUAGUUGGCGGGGUAAGGGCCCACCAAGGCGACGAUCCGUAGCUGGUCUGAGAGGAUGAUCAGCCACACUGGAACUGAGACACGGUCCAGACUCCUACGGGAGGCAGCAGUGGGGAAUAUUGGACAAUGGGCGCAAGCCUGAUCCAGCCAUACCGCGUGGGUGAAGAAGGCCUUCGGGUUGUAAAGCCCUUUUGUUGGGAAAGAAAAGCAGCAGGUUAAUACCCCGCUGUUCUGACGGUACCCAAAGAAUAAGCACCGGCUAACUUCGUG
rnacentral:rRNA from 1 species